rnacentral:tRNA from 1 species
GGCCGGAUGGUCUAGGAUUAUGAUUCUCGCUUCGGGUGCGAGACGUCCCGGGUUCGAACCUCGUUCGGCCC